rnacentral:rRNA from 1 species
AACGAACGCUGGCGGCAUGCCUAACACAUGCAAGUCGAACGAGACCUUCGGGUCUAGUGGCGCACGUGUGCGUAACGCGUGGGAACCUGCCCUUAGGUUCGGAAUACCUCCCCGAAAGGGGUGCUAAUACCGGAUAAUCUCUUCGGACCAAAGAUUUAUCGCCUUUGGAUGGGCCCGCGUUGGAUUAGCUAGUUGGUAGGGUAAAAGCCUACCAAGGCGACGAUCCAUAGCUGGUCUGAGAGGAUGAUCAGCCACACUGGGACUGAGACACGGCCCAGACUCCUACGGGAGGCAGCAGUGGGGAAUAUUGGACAAUGGGCGAAAGCCUGAUACAGCAAUGCCGCGUGAGUGAUGAAGGCCUUAGGGUUGUAAAGCUCUUUUAGCCGGGAUGAUAAUGACAGUACCGGGAGAAUAAGCACCGGCUAACUCCGUG